rnacentral:misc_RNA from 1 species
GAAAUGCGAUAAGUAAUGUGAAUUGCAGAAUUCAGUGAAUCAUCGAAUCUUUGAACGCACCUUGCGCUCCUUGGUAUUCCUUGGAGCAUGCCUGUUUGAGUAUCAUGAAAUCUUCAAAGUAAAUCUUUUGUUAACUCAAUUGGUUUCUACUUUGGUAUUGGAGGUCUUUGCAGCUUCACACCUGCUCCUCUUUGUUCAUUAGCUGGAUCUCAGUGUUAUGCUUGGUUCCACUCGGCGUGAUAAGUUAUCUAUCGCUGAGGACACUGUAAAAGGUGGCCAAGGUAAAUGCAGAUGAACCGCUUCUAAUAGUCUAUUGACUUGGACAAUACUUUUAUGAUCUGAUCUCAAAUCAGGUAGGACUACCCGCUGAACUUAAGC